UACGAAGGGGGCUAGCGUUGUUCGGAAUUACUGGGCGUAAAAGCGCACGUAGGCGGAUACUUAAGUUAGGGGUGAAAUCCCAGAGCUCAACUCUGGAACUGCCUUUAAUACUGGGUAUCUCGAGUCCGAGAGAGGUGAGUGGAAUUCCGAGUGUAGAGGUGAAAUUCGUAGAUAUUCGGAGGAACACCAGUGGCGAAGGCGGCUCACUGGCUCGGUACUGACGCUGAGGUGCGAAAGCGUGGGGAGCAAACAGG
rnacentral:rRNA from 1 species